AGUGGCGAACGGGUGAGUAAUGCAUCGGAACGUACCCAGUAGUGGGGGAUAGCCCGGCGAAAGCCGGAUUAAUACCGCAUACGACCUGAGGGUGAAAGCGGGGGCUCGCAAGACCUCGCGCUAUUGGAGCGGCCGAUGUCAGAUUAGGUAGUUGGUGGGGUAAAGGCCUACCAAGCCUGCGAUCUGUAGCUGGUCUGAGAGGACGACCAGCCACACUGGGACUGAGACACGGCCCAGACUCCUACGGGAGGCAGCAGUGGGGAAUUUUGGACAAUGGGCGCAAGCCUGAUCCAGCCAUGCCGCGUGCGGGAAGAAGGCCUUCGGGUUGUAAACCGCUUUUGUCGGGGAAGAAAAGUUCCGGGUUAAUACCCUGGGAUGCUGACGGUACCUGAAGAAUAAGCACCGGCUAACUACGUGCCAGCAGCCGCGGUAAUACGUAGGGUGCGAGCGUUAAUCGGAAUUACUGGGCGUAAAGCGUGCGCAGGCGGUUGUGCAAGACAGAUGUGAAAUCCCCGGGCUCAACCUGGGAACUGCAUUUGUGACUGCACGACUGGAGUGCGGCAGAGGGGGAUGGAAUUCCGCGUGUAGCAGUGAAAUGCGU
rnacentral:rRNA from 1 species